rnacentral:rRNA from 1 species
CUUGACACUGAACAUUGAGCCUUGAUGUGUAGGAUAGGUGGGAGGCUUUGAAGCGUGGACGCCAGUCUGCGUGGAGCCAACCUUGAAAUACCACCCUUUAAUGUUUGAUGUUCUAACGUUGGCCCCUUACCGGGGUUGCGGACAGUGUCUGGUGGGUAGUUUGACUGGGGCGGUG